UACGUAGGGGGCUAGCGUUGUCCGGAAUCAUUGGGCGUAAAGAGCGUGUAGGCGGCCCGGUAAGUCCGCUGUGAAAGUCCAGGGCUCAACCCUGGGAUGCCGGUGGAUACUGUCGGGCUCGAGUCCGGAAGAGGCGAGUGGAAUUCCUGGUGUAGCGGUGAAAUGCGCAGAUAUCAGGAGGAACACCAAUGGCGAAGGCAGCUCGCUGGGACGUGACUGACGCUGAGGCGCGAAAGCGUGGGGAGCAAACAGG
rnacentral:rRNA from 1 species